ACGAACGCUGGCGGCGUGCCUAAUCCAUGCAAGUUGCGCGAUGAAGAUUGGUGCUUGCACCAAUUUGAAGAGCAGCGAACGGGUGAGUAACGCGUGGGGAAUCUGCCUUUGAGCGGGGGACAACAUUUGGAAACGAAUGCUAAUACCGCAUAACAACUUUAAACAUAAGUUUUAAGUUUGAAAGAUGCAAUUGCAUCACUCAAAGAUGAUCCCGCGUUGUAUUAGCUAGUUGGUGAGGUAAAGGCUCACCAAGGCGAUGAUACAUAGCCGACCUGAGAGGGUGAUCGGCCACAUUGGGACUGAGACACGGCCCAAACUCCUACGGGAGGCAGCAGUAGGGAAUCUUCGGCAAUGGACGAAAGUCUGACCGAGCAACGCCGCGUGAGUGAAGAAGGUUUUCGGAUCGUAAAACUCUGUUGGUAGAGAAGAACGUUGGUGAGAGUGGAAAGCUCAUCAAGUGACGGUAACUACCCAGAAAGGGACGGCUAACUACGUG
rnacentral:rRNA from 1 species